AGCCAGACUCCUACGGGAGGCAGCAGUGGGGAAUAUUGCACAAUGGGGGAAACCCUGAUGCAGCGACGCCGCGUGAGUGAAGAAGUAUUUCGGUAUGUAAAGCUCUAUCAGCAGGGAAGAAAAUGACGGUACCUGACUAAGAAGCCCCGGCUAACUACGUGCCAGCAGCCGCGGUAAUACGUAGGGGGCAAGCGUUAUCCGGAUUUACUGGGUGUAAAGGGAGCGUAGACGGCAGCGCAAGUCUGAAGUGAAAUCCCAAGGCUUAACCAUGGAACUGCUUUGGAAACUGUGCAGCUGGAGUGCAGGAGAGGUAAGCGGAAUUCCUAGUGUAGCGGUGAAAUGCGUAGAUAUUAGGAGGAACACCAGUGGCGAAGGCGGCUUACUGGACUGUAACUGACGUUGAGGCUCGAAAGCGUGGGGAGCAAACAGGAUUAGAUACCCCAGUA
rnacentral:rRNA from 1 species